UACGUAGGCAGCAAGCGUUGUUCGGAAUUACUGGGCGUAAAGAGUGUGUAGGCGGUGCACUAAGUUUGUCGUGAAAUCUCCCGGCUUAACUGGGAGGGUGCGGCGAAUACUGGUGUGCUCGAGGGUGGGAGAGGUAAGCGGAAUUCCUGGUGUAGCGGUGAAAUGCGUAGAUAUCGGGAGGAACACCUGUGGUGUAGACAGCUUACUGGACCAUUUCUGACGCUGAGACACGAAAGCGUGGGUAGCAAACAGG
rnacentral:rRNA from 1 species